rnacentral:rRNA from 1 species
CCUACGGGGGGCAGCAGUGGGGAAUAUUGGACAAUGGGGGGAACCCUGAUCCAGCCAUGCCGCGUGUGUGAAGAAGGCCCUCGGGUUGUAAAGCACUUUCAGUGAGGAAGAACGCCUGGUGGUUAAUACCCAUCAGGAAAGACAUCACUCACAGAAGAAGCACCGGCUAACUCCGUGCCAGCAGCCGCGGUAAUACGGAGGGUGCGAGCGUUAAUCGGAAUUACUGGGCGUAAAGCGCGCGUAGGUGGCUUGAUAAGCCGGUUGUGAAAGCCCCGGGCUCAACCUGGGAACGGCAUCCGGAACUGUCAAGCUAGAGGGCAGGAGAGGAAGGUAGAAUUCCCGGUGUAGCGGGGAAAUGCGUAGAGAUCGGGAGGAAUACCAGUGGCGAAGGCGGCCUUCUGGACUGACACUGACACUGAGGUGCGAAAGCGUGGGUAGCAAACAGGAUUAGAUACCCGAGUAGUC